rnacentral:rRNA from 1 species
CAGGUUUGUAGCAAUACAAAUGCUGGCGACCGGCAAACGGGUGCGGAACACGUACGCAACCUUCCUCUUACUGGAAGAUAGCCCACCGAAAGGUGGAUUAAUACUCCAUAUUAUAUUGAAGUGGCAUCACUUUAAUAUUAAAGCUCCGGCGGUAAGAGAUGGGCGUGCGUCUGAUUAGGUAGUUGGCGGGGUAACGGCCCACCAAGCCUGCGAUCAGUAGCUGAUGUGAGAGCAUGAUCAGCCACACGGGCACUGAGACACGGGCCCGACUCCUACGGGAGGCAGCAGUAAGGAAUAUUGGUCAAUGGACGCAAGUCUGAACCAGCCAUGCCGCGUGGAGGAUGACGGUCCUCUGGAUUGUAAACUUCUUUUCUCUGGGACGAAACCCCCGAUUUCCAUCGGGCCUGACGGUACCAGAGGAAUAAGCACCGGCUAACUCCGUGCCAGCAGCCGCGGUAAUACGGAGGGUGCAAGCGUUAUCCGGAUUCACUGGGUUUAAAGGGUGCGUAGGUGGGCAGAUAAGUCAGUGGUGAAAUCUCUGGGCUUAACCCGGAAACUGCCAUUGAUACUAUUUGUCUUGAAUUCUCUGGAGGUAAGCGGAAUAUGUCAUGUAGCGGUGAAAUGCUUAGAUAUGACAUAGAACACCCAUUGCGAAGGCAGCUUACUACGGAGACAUUGACACUGAGGCACGAAAGCGUGGGGAUCAAACAGGAUUAGAUACCCUGGUAGUCCACGCCCUAAACGAUGAUUACUCGACAUUAGCGAUAUUACAGUUAGUGUCUAAGCGAAAGCAUUAAGUAAUCCACCUGGGAAGUACGAUCGCAAGAUUGAAACUCAAAGGAAUUGGCGGGGGUCCGCACAAGUGGUGGAGCAUGUGGUUUAAUUCGAUGAUACGCGAGGAACCUUACCUGGGCUAGAAUGCAU